rnacentral:rRNA from 1 species
GCAAAAGAGUGGGAAGAUCUUUGAGUAGAGGUGACAGACCUACCGAGCUCAGUUAUAGCUGGUUGCCUACAAAAAGAAUAGAAGUUCAGCCUUUACACUUCUUCUCUCAAAACUGCAUAUACUAAUAAGUGACACAAAGAAGUUAAAAGAGUUAUUCAAGGGGGGAACAGCCCCCUUGAAAAAAGAUACAACUUUAUUUAGAAGGCUAAAGAUUAAAAUACCCCAGGCAAAUAUACCUUGGUGGGCCUAAAAGCAGCCAUCCAUAUAGAAAGCGUUAAAGCUCAAGUACUUUGCCCCUCCCUAAUUUCAAUAAUUCAAUCUUAAGCCCCUUAAUUAAUAGUAGGCCUUUUCAUGCACCCAUGAAAGAGAUACUGCUGAGAUGAGUAAUAAGAGGACCGCUCCUCUCCCCAACACUUGUAUAAUUCAGAACGAACCCCCACUGAAAACUAACGCCCCCAACUAAAAGAGGGGCCUGGGAAAGCCCAAAAUAAACUAGAAGCUCACCCAACAAUUAGCGUUAACCCUACACAGGUGUGUUUUAAGGAAAGACUAAAAGAAAAAGAAGGAACUCGGCAAACACUGGCCUCGCCUGUUUACCAAAAACAUCGCCUCUUGCAACAAACGUAUAAGAGGUCCCGCCUGCCCUGUGACUUACUAGUUUAACGGCCGCGGUAUUUUGACCGUGCGAAGGUAGCGUAAUCACUUGUCUUUUAAAUGGAGACCUGUAUGAAUGGCACAACGAGGGCUAAGCUGUCUCCUUUUUCCAGUCAAUGAAAUUGAUUUUCCCGUGCAGAAGCGGGAAUAUAAACAUAAGACGAGAAGACCCUAUGGAGCUUAAGACACAAGGCAGCCCAUGUAAAACACCUGGCUCAACAGAAUUAACCAAGUGGCCCCUGCCCUUUUGUCUUUGGUUGGGGCGACCGCGGGGAAACAAAAAUCCCCCACGUGGAAUGGGGCCAACCCCCCUAAAGCCAGAGCCACAGCUCUAGCUAGCAGAACAUCUGACCUACAAGAUCCGGCAAAGCCGAUCAACGGACCGAGUUACCCUAGGGAUAACAGCGCAAUCCCCUUUUAGAGCCCAUAUCGACAAGGGGGUUUACGACCUCGAUGUUGGAUCAGGACAUCCUAAUGGUGCAACCGCUA